UACGUAGGGGGCAAGCGUUGUCCGGAUUUAUUGGGCGUAAAGAGCGUGUAGGCGGCCAGGUAGGUCAGCUGUGAAAACUCGAGGCUCAACCUCGAGACGUCGGUUGAAACCACCUGGCUAGAGUCCGGAAGAGGAGAGUGGAAUUCCUGGUGUAGCGGUGAAAUGCGCAGAUAUCAGGAAGAACACCAAUGGCGAAGGCAGCUCGCUGGGACGGUACUGACGCUGAGACGCGAAAGCGUGGGGAGCAAACAGG
rnacentral:rRNA from 1 species